rnacentral:rRNA from 1 species
UACGUAGGGGCCUAGCGUUGUCCGGAAUUAUUGGGCGUAAAGAGCUCGUAGGCGGUUCGGCAAGUCGGAUGUGAAAUCUCCACGCUAAACGUGGAGGGGCCAUUCGAAACUGCUGUGACUCGAGUCCGGUAGGGGAGUGUGGAAUUCCCGGUGUAGAGGUGAAAUUCGUAGAUAUCGGGAGGAACACCGGUGGCGAAGGCGGCGACCUGGGUUGAUACUGACGCUGAGGCGCGAAAGCGUGGGGAGCAAACAGG